rnacentral:rRNA from 1 species
AUACGGAGGGUGCAAGCGUUAAUCGGAUUUACUGGGCGUAAAGGGUGUGUAGGCGGCCACGCAAGUCUGAUGUGAAAUCUCCACCGCUCAACGGGGAGAGGUCAUUGGAAACUGCAUGGCUUGAGUAUGGUAGAGGCGAGCGGAAUUCCUGGUGGAGCGGUGGAAUGUGCAGAUAUCAGGAAGAACACCGGUGGCGAAGGCGGCUCGCUGGGCCAUUACUGACGCUGAGACACGAAAGCGUGAGGAGCGAACGGGAUUAGAAACCCCAGUAGUCC